GGGUGCGUAGGUGGGCUAGUAAGUCCGUGGUGAAAUCUCCAAGCUUAACUUGGAAACUGCCGUGGAUACUAUUAGUCUUGAAUAUUGUGGAGGUAAGCGGAAUAUGUCAUGUAGCGGUGAAAUGCUUAGAUAUGACAUAGAACACCGAUAGCGAAGGCAGCUUGCUACACAAUCAUUGACACUGAGGCACGAAAGCGUGGGGAUCAAACAGGAUUAGAUACCCUGGUAGUCCACGCCCUAAACGAUGGAUACUCGACAUACGCGAUACACAGUGUGUGUCUGAGCGAAAGCAUUAAGUAUCCCACCUGGGAAGUACGACCGCAAGGUUGAAACUCAAAGGAAUUGG
rnacentral:rRNA from 1 species